ensembl:lncRNA
GGAGAGAGGGGAGGAGAGAGGUGAAGGAGAGAGGGGAGGAGAGAGGUGAAGGAGAGAGGGGAGGAGAGAGGGGAGGAGAGAGGUGAAGGAGAGAGGGGAGGAGAGAGGUGAAGGAGAGAGGGGAGGAGAGGGGUGAAGGAGAGAGGGGAGGAGAGAGGGGAGGAGAGAGGUGAAGGAGAGAGGGGAGGAGAGAGGGGAGGAGAGAGGUGAAGGAGAGAGGGGAGGAGAGAGGGGAGGAGAGAGGUGAAGGAGAG